GACGAACGCUGGCGGCGCGCCUAACACAUGCAAGUCGAACGGAGCUGAGAGAAGCUUGCUUUUCUUAGCUUAGUGGCGAACGGGUGAGUAACGCGUGAGUAACCUGCCCUGGAGUGGGGGACAACAGCUGGAAACGACUGCUAAUACCGCAUAAGCCCACGGCCCGGCAUCGGGCUGCGGGAAAAGGAUUUAUUCGCUUCAGGAUGGACUCGCGUCCAAUUAGCUAGUUGGUGAGGUAACGGCCCACCAAGGCGACGAUUGGUAGCCGGACUGAGAGGUUGAACGGCCACAUUGGGACUGAGACACGGCCCAGACUCCUACGGGAGGCAGCAGUGGGGGAUAUUGCACAAUGGGGGAAACCCUGAUGCAGCGACGCCGCGUGGAGGAAGAAGGUUUUCGGAUUGUAAACUCCUGUCGUUAGGGACGAUAAUGACGGUACCUAACAAGAAAGCACCGGCUAACUACGUGCCAGCAGCCGCGGUAAAACGUAGGGUGCAAGCGUUGUCCGGAAUUACUGGGUGUAAAGGGAGCGCAGGCGGACCGGCAAGUUGGAAGUGAAAACUAUGGGCUCAACCCAUAAAUUGCUUUCAAAACUGCUGGCCUUGAGUAGUGCAGAGUAGGUGGAAUUCCCGGUGUAGCGGUGGAAUGCGUAGAUAUCGGGAGGAACACCAGUGGCGAAGGCGACUACUGGGCACCAACUGACGCUGAGGCUCGAAAGCAUGGGUAGCAAACAGGAUUAGAUACCCUGGUAGUCCAUGCCGUAAACGAUGAUUACUAGGUGUUGGAGGAUUGACCCCUUCAGUGCCGCAGUUAACACAAUAAGUAAUCCACCUGGGGAGUACGACCGCAAGGUUGAAACUCAAAGGAAUUGACGGGGGCCCGCACAAGCAGUGGAGUAUGUGGUUUAAUUCGAAGCAACGCGAAGAACCUUACCAGGUCUUGACAUCCGAUGCAUAGUGCAGAGAUGCAUGAAGUCCUUCGGGACAUCGAGACAGGUGGUGCAUGGUUGUCGUCAGCUCGUGUCGUGAGAUGUUGGGUUAAGUCCCGCAACGAGCGCAACCCUUAUUGCCAGUUACUACGAAAGAGGACUCUGGCGAGACUGCCGUUGACAAAACGGAGGAAGGUGGGGAUGACGUCAAAUCAUCAUGCCCUUUAUGACCUGGGCUACACACGUACUACAAUGGCGUUUAACAAAGAGAAGCAAGACCGCGAGGUGGAGCAAAACUCAAAAACAACGUCUCAGUUCAGAUUGCAGGCUGCAACUCGCCUGCAUGAAGUCGGAAUUGCUAGUAAUCGCGGAUCAGCAUGCCGCGGUGAAUACGUUCCCGGGCCUU
rnacentral:rRNA from 1 species